rnacentral:tRNA from 1 species
ACUUGGCUGGCUCAGUCGGUGGAGCAUGGGACUCUUGAUCUCGGGGUGGUGAGUUAAAGUCCCACGUUGGGUG